GACGGAGGGUGCAAGCGUUGCUCGGAAUCACUGGGCGUAAAGCGCACGUAGGCGGCUUUCUAAGUCAGGGGUGAAAUCCUGGAGCUCAACUCCAGAACUGCCUUUGAUACUGGAGAGCUUGAGUCCGGGAGAGGUGAGUGGAACUCCGAGUGUAGAGGUGAAAUUCGUAGAUAUUCGGAAGAACACCAGUGGCGAAGGCGGCUCACUGGCCCGGUACUGACGCUGAUGUGCGAAAGCGUGGGGAGCAAACAGG
rnacentral:rRNA from 1 species